UGGGGAAUAUUGGGCAAUGGGCGAAAGCCUGACCCAGCAACGCCGCGUGAAGGAAGAAGGCCUUCGGGUUUGGUAAACUUACUUUUACCUAGGGACGAAGGACGUGACGGUACCUGGAGAAAAGACAACGGCUAACUACGUGCC
rnacentral:rRNA from 1 species